UUGCUUCAAUUUUAUUUUUCAAUUACGCUACCCAUUCUAUUCUAUAAAAUGAAGUUUCAUCAGAAUGGUUUUGUACAAUUAUACAGGAAGAUUUGACAUUAUUAUUAUUAUAUAUUAAGAGAGAAGAAUAUGAUAAACUAUGUAAGUAUUAUGAGUAAUAAGGUGUGGGUGGGGUUGGAUGAGUAUAUGAUACAUGAUAUGAUGGUGGAUUGUUGAAGCAAUCAAUCAGGAUUCAGGAAGGCGACUUCUAUCCAACUUCCACCUUUCUCUUCCCUCAAGGCGUCGGAGCAGGGAAUUGAACGGCGGGAUUACUGGCUUUUCAACACCGUCACCGCCGGGCUACUUAAAAAGCGAAGGUGAAAGCCAGGGUGAAAAUUGUUUCCGCCGCGCCGGUAAUUAUAGUAGUCAGUACUCGGUAUUUCUUCAAGUUUGAUCCUACUCCUCCCUGCCUAUGAGCCAUGACAUGUCUAUCCGAACUAAAUUUGGAUGAAGUGGGGUCCACGUGGACCACAACCAGUAAUGCCAGCUAUGCGCGGCUGUAGACUACUCAGCAAGUCAGCAUUCGCACCCACCCACUGUGGUCCUCGCUAACGUCCGCUGCCCAAAAUACAGGCCUAGAAAAUAGCCCAUAUAACCGGCCUUUUGCCUGCUCCGGUCCCUUCAAACUGAAUUUGGAUAGCUUGGAAGCUCCUUCACACUGACUUCGAGCGUCAUUAAAUUGAAAUUUCAAAUUAAAUAUCCACAUAUAUUAAAUCAACAAAUACAUUAACAAGUCGAGAUUAUAAUACCAAAGAUCCACAUUGUACAACAUGGAAAAGAUGAACGAGAUUUAUAUCUUCAUAAUUUACAUUGUAUAUAUGUUGAAGUCAAGUUCAACGCAUUUAUGUUAACGGUUUCUCAAACUCGUCUCUCAAAGUAUAUAUAAAGAAUAUCUUUAAAAUAAUCCAAAGAUUCAUCAUAAAUAAAAAAAUAACCACCUACAUAUCGAUUUGAUAAGAGAUAUAUGAAAUCGACUCGAACGAUGAAAAAGAUAACUAUAUUGUUUGUCUAAAUAAGAAUUAAAAUUAGUUAGAUUAGUAUCUAUUGUCUAUUGUUAAGCCCUACGCCUAGUGGCCCACAUUCAUUGACUAACAAACAAGCCCAAGCAUUCACACCCAACAACUUGUAGAAGAUCAGCUGUCAAUCAGGUUUAGAAAUCCUGAAACCACGAAAGAACUACUAACCCUGAAACACAUUGACUUCCAUCGUUUGUCACAUUCACAAAUAUGACUUGGCGUUGUGUCGUAUCAUCUAACAAGACGUCCAUAUCAGCUGGAGGUGGCUUAACCACCCAUGUCUGGGAGGAUCUCAAGCCUAGCUAGGCAUAUCAUAUUCCUUCAUCAUAAAUGAUCAAGAUAUUGUCUAGGCCUAGUCAUCAGUCGCCAAUAUGGACUUAUAUAAGGCACGUUGGUCAUGCAUUUAUGACACAUAACCCUGGCCCAACAUGCCUAACACCCACGACACAUCCCCAAUACUUUUUUGUCUCACACACACAUUCUCAUAUGCCUACUCUCGUUGACAUCACUCUCCUCUUACUAUGGGAACCACACAUCGAGACUCAUAAACAUCCACAAAGGAACACUCACAUUCUCAUCCAACUCAACUCUAUAGUCAAACCACUUAUUGGUCUACCACCUAAAUAGACGGAACAAUUAUGUACAUGAUAUAAUAUAAUUAUAUAUGAGAAAUAAUUUUAGGAACAUAUUAGACCAUCUUCAAUAUUAAAUCUCCUAAACCCAUGUUCAAACUUAUGUGUUUGUAUAUUUGAACCUAUGAAAACGUAUACAUUUGUCCAUAUUUCAUACAUUUUGGGCGCAUUAAAUAUGAGAAAAUGUGGCAUAACAGUUAUUGCCAGAACAUAAAUUUUGUGUGAAUAACUUUUGAGGUCAUUUCUAUACCAAAAUUGCUCUAAAAACACCUUUUUGGACCAAAUAGACUUCCAACCGCCUACCCUGGACUUGGUUGACCACAACAUAUUAGACAAAUUAUUAUUGUUGUUGGAUAUAAUAAUUGCCUCCAAUCNNNNNNNNNNNNNNNNNNNNNNNNNNNNNNNNNNNNNNNNNNCAACUAUAUCAUAGUAUCAUACCAUGUCUCUUUUCUUUCGGAAAUAAUAACACAACAUAUCUCAUAUCCCAAUAUUAGCAAAUAACUUCAAUGAUAGGGAGACAUGGAAAUGUUAUUACCAGGAAAAAAACAUACACAAAUUAGUUAGAAGUUAGGUGUGUACUACCAACUCAAUGACAGCCAUAGGGGAACAAAUCAUAUAUAUAAACACCAUGUUUGUGUAAUUUGUAUAUUAAAGGGUUGUCUCAUCCCAACCCCGCAAUAAAAAAAGAAGUUAUCUGAAGUUAUCUUCUGGUAUUUAUCUCUAAUUAUAUCAAUUUAAAGGCCACCAGUUAGACUAAAUCCAUUAAUUGAUACGCUUCAAUUAACCAACAACUCAAUAUGAUUAGUAUAUCUCCUACUAUGAAUAAGAGGAUUAGCUGUUAAGCAUAUUCAUGCAUUUAUGUUAUUUCAUGCAUAACUUUUUGGCCUAAUACACUAAGCCAUCGGAAUUGGACGUAUAAGAGAGAGUGGCAUGUGAGUGUGUCGGAGAAUUAGAAGGGGAUUAGCGGGUAGGCCACAGGAUAGGAACAUGGUUGACCAGUGUGGUAUAUUCUUCUGGUGGAUCCGUUUCUACUUUUUAGAUUUUUGGGCAGUCAAACAUUCCAAUUGGGAAUCUAACGACCACACACAGCCAUCCCUCUCCAGUCUCCACAUACUAACAAACGAAACGAAAUGAAAUGGUCUUUUCUUUUCUUUCUAUGUACGCUUAAGAAGUCAGCUGUCCAGUCAACCUAAAUUCUUGUGUACCAGCCUUGCGCUUCUAAGCAAAAGGGUUCAGUCUCUUUGCUAAGCAAAAGUGUUCGUCAUUACCAAAAGAGAGAGCUGGAUAGGUAUGUGCACACUAGUGGACACUAGUGAGUAGGGAUUAACUAAUGCAGGUGUUAAAGAGGGAAAAGAAGUUGCAGCUGGUUUGAAUGGAAAGACUUAUCUGGUCAGAGAGUCCAUGCAUGGUGGAUCAGCAUUCCCUCUUUUUGCUUUAGGAUGCUCUCUGUCACACGACACGAGUAUUCCUUGAUCGCCUGCAGUGCCCAUGCAUUUUAUUUUAUUCUUUAUUUUCGCUUUUCAGCUGGGGAAUCAACUUGCGUGGAUGGAAUAGCUUUCAUACAAUCUCCCUGCAUAUCCCAACUUUUCAUCUUUUUGCUAAUCUAGUAACUAACUUGAUGGGUAAGAAUGUCACUAUGAUUUCCGACUAUUCCUGCAACAAUAGGUGAUCAUUAAAUCAAAACAAAGUCAGUCAAAUAGUACAAAAUGUGGAAGAGAAUCAUUCUCGUAUUCUGUAAUUAAACAUAUCCAUGUUUAAUUGCAUUACACCAUCAUGUAGUAAUUUUUGACGGAAAGAGGAAUCGUCUCAAAGUCUAUCAAGAUUCACACUACUUAUCAAAUAUCAGAAAGAUACAAAAUAGAUAGAAUCGGGUAAAAGUAUUGCAUGAUCACUAAGUGCACUGUCUGUGAGAAACCUUCCUAUAGGCCAGUAUAAAUAUCCUUCCUUCCCAUAUUCAUUCCUCAAACUUCUCUGCUCUCCAUCCUUCACUACCAUCUCUUACUUUGGUAACACCUAAUUCCUCACCAUUCACCAACCCAAACCACAGCAUGGACUACAGAAAUGACUCAUCUGAGAACUCAAGGUCCUCUCUCUUUCUCUCCCUCUCUACCUCCCAUUCACAUUCCACAUGCAUGCAUUUACUUUCAUGUCUGACAUAUAUUCAAGCUUGAAACUUCCAUAGAAACAAUUGUAUAAUCGAAUGAAUAUAAUGGUGUUUCCUAUAUAUGGUGGCAGGAAUAAGUGUGCAGCGUGCUUUAGGCAGUUCAACAAAAAGGAACACCUAGUGGAGCACAUGAGGAUCUCCUUUCACUCAGUGCAUGAACCCAAGUGUGGAAUCUGUAAGAAGCACUGCAGAUCAUUUGAGUCCCUGAGGGAGCAUCUCAUCGGUAAAUAUUUCUCUGCACAAAUAGUAUAUACUAUAGUGAACCCAAACAUUUCAUUAAGUUUUAUGACAAGGUUAAACAUGGUUCUUUACAGGACCAUUACCAAAGCAAGAGUGCAAGAACAUUUUCAACGUCCGGGGAUGCAGAUUUUGUCUGACCAUUCUUGACAGCUCAAAUGCCCGCAGGGCUCACCAAGAUAGAUGUCAGUUCCCUAACGUUAAUGCGGUAAUGUGAAAGUUAUCAGUCAAUCCGUUUUCCUUAUAAACAGAGGAUAUAUAUCUAAAUCAAAUGUUGUAAAACACCUUUUCAACCAGGGACUGCUUGCUCGAGUGGCUACUCUAGGCUUGCGCGACAGCUUGAGUACAGAAAGUGGCUACUCCAGAGGGACACAAGUUGUUGCACUAGCGUGUAAGAUGGUUGGAGGAGGCAGUGAUGGCUCCCUCGAUCUCUGUGGGAGGGUUUGCCUCGUCGACGAAAACGAAAACAUUCUUUUCCAUUCCUAUGUCAAACCACCAAUUCCAGUCACCAAUUGCAGGUACAGUUCCAGUCAUAUACCGAAUUACUAUUGCAACUUUCUACUAGUGUUAGCUGCUCUAAUUAAAGCUUAUUCUUUGAAUAAAUAAAAAACACUUCAUAGGUACGAAACCACAGGGAUAAGGCCAGAAUAUUUGAGGGAUGCAGUCCCACUAAGACAGGUGCAAAAGAAGAUUCAAGAUUUCCUAAGCAAUGGUGAGCCCAUGUGGAAAAUUAGACCAAGAGGAGGAAGAGCUAGGAUUCUCGUGGGUCAUGGAUUGGACCACGACCUUGACCGCCUUCAAGUGGAAUACCCAGCUGUGAUGAUCAGGUACAUAUAAAGCUAGCUUUUUAGUCACUAGAUUCCUAUCUCCUAGGAGGUGGGGAUUGGCUGACCAACAAGUUGAUUAAUAAUCGUAUGGAAUCAUGUCAUGUUACUGCAGGGACACAGCAAAGUACCCUCCAUUAAUGAAAACAAGCAAGCUUAGCAACUCACUCAAGUACCUAACACAGGCCUAUCUCGGGUAAGUAAAGUUAAUUAUCAAGCCCAAGCUUUUCUCCACAGUAGUCUGUAAAAUGUAAAUUUUCUUUAACAUCAGUCCUAUCUAUUGCAGGUAUGACAUUCAAAUGGGAACCCAAGACCCAUAUGAAGAUUGUGUGGCAACUAUGAGACUGUACAUGAGGAUGAGAUCUCAACGACAUGGUGCAGAGGAUUAUCCAGUUGCCACUGAUCCACAGAACCGUAACAAUUUGGCUCCGUGGAGGCAAAAUGAGCUGGAGAGGAUGAACCCAGAGGACUUACUAGCUUUAUCCAAAUCAGAUUACUACUGUUGGUGCUUGGAUUCCUAGUCAGUUUGAUAAGAAGAUAAGGUAAAGAGGCCUGCCUAUUCAUAAUCAUGAGUAGAGAUAUUUUAUACUAUGUACGUCUUCCAGAUUGGAGACAUAUUCUAUGUUCUUUGUGCUUCUUGUGUGUGCUGUGUUCAUUUCCUGGGCACUGUAAGCUAUAUAUAACCAAUAAAGCGAAAAAAUAAAAAUGAUUAAAGUGUUCAAUCUUUUCGGAACUUAAACAAUUAGAGCUUUCUCCCAGCACAUGCAAACACUGGUCCCGUCAUUAACCAAUUUUGGCGUCGAAAAUUAGGGUUUCACCAAGCAACCAAACAGAGUAGCAAACGUCUUACGGGAAUUAUAGAAUAUUAUCAGCAGUGAAGACUUUGUGUACCUUUUGAGCAGAUGAGCGGUUGCUGGCGGUGAGCAAUUUCGUUGCAACACGCUAUAAGUGACCAAUGGAUUCGUCGACCUCAAUGAUCCGCCCAGCGAUAUUGUUAG
rnacentral:lncRNA from 1 species